rnacentral:rRNA from 1 species
UACGGAGGGUGCGAGCGUUGUCCGGAAUUAUUGGGCGUAAAGAGCGUGUAGGCGGCUCUGCAAGUCCUGCGUGAAAUCUCGAGGCUCAACCUCGAGCGGUCGUGGGAAACUGGAGGGCUAGAGUGCGGGAGAGGGAAGUGGAAUUCCAGGUGUAGCGGUGAAAUGCGCAGAUAUCUGGAAGAACACCCGUGGCGAAGGCGGCUUCCUGGAACGACACUGACGCUGAGACGCGAAAGCGUGGGGAGCAAACAGG